AUUUCGAUUAUCGAAUCGUACGAUGUCAGCCAAUCAGAAAGCUUCUAAGAAAAUUUUGGCGGGCCAGGGAGUCAGUCUUCUGUGGAAAGUGCUAGUGAGAGGACGUGUUGUCGCAGCCGGCUUCGAAAAUUCUACGACGCAAUUAUUGGUAUAAUUUGAAAGGCGGGAAAAAUUUCAAUAUGGACGCCAUCGUACUUUUUCAAGAAGUUUGAUAUUUCGUUUGCGUACUGUAUGUAUUUAUUCUGUUUUUAUUCGAUCGUUUUUAUGAUAUAUUUUAUCAUUUCAAAGUAUAAUAUAAUGAACAUUCACCAUAAAUAUUAUUAAUAAUAUUGUAUUUGUAUAUAUAAUCUAUUUUCUUGUAUAUGAAAUUUUCUUAUUCAUAAAAAAAUUGAUAAUAAUCAAUUCUUAGUUUCAAUAAAAAUGGCAAUUUUUUUCUGAAACAAAUGUUUGAUAGAAAGAAGAAGAAAAAAUAUUUUGUUUCUUUUUCUAUAUAUUUCCCCCUAUUACUAAUACAGCUUUAUUUCCAGACAAUUAUUGCGAUCGCGCGCAAUGCGAUCGGUAGAUUCAGUGUUUGCUUCGUAAUAGUUUUUUAAUAUUCUAGAGCACAAUAGCUCUAAUUAAAUUUAUUUAUUAAAGUCGGGAAAUUAGAGUCAGUGUUUGUUCGCCGAUUGUAAAUGAAAUGGACGCGUUAGUUUUUUAUUUUUAUUUUUUUAUUUUUAAUAUUCGUUUGCGGUACAGGGUAGAGUCAGUGCUUCUCGAAGAAAUAAGGCAGUCAUCCAUCACGCGAAGAGAUGCCUGACUUUGCCAGUGUUUAUGAACAUUUUUACUGGACUUCAAUUUUAAAAAAUAUUUGUGACCGCGUGCAAUGCGGUCUGUAGAAUCAGUGCUUAUUCCGUAACAGUUUUUUUUAAAUAUUUUAAUGCACAAUAACUCUAAUUAUCAUAAUUAUUCGCGAAACUAGAGUCAGUGCUUGUUCGUCGCCUAUGUUUUAAAUCGACGCGAUGGUAGUUUUUUAUUUUUUAUUUUAUUUUUUUAAAUAUUCGUUUUCGGUACAGGAUAGAGUCAGUGUUUCUCGAAGGAAUAGGGCAAUCAUCCACCACGCGAAGAGUUUCCAUUUCUUGAUGAUGAUGA